AUUUUGGACAAUGGGCGCAAGCCUGAUCCAGCAAUGCCGCGUGUGUGACGAAGGCCUUCGGGUUGUAAAGCACUUUUGUUCGGGAAGAAAUCUGUCGGGAUAAUACCUCGACGGGAUGACGGUACCGGAAGAAUAAGCACCGGCUAACUACGUGCCAGCAGCCGCGGUAAUACGUAGGGUGCAAGCGUUAAUCGGAAUUACUGGGCGUAAAGCGUGCGUAGGUGGUUUGUUAAGUCUGAUGUGAAAGCCCUGGGCUCAACCUGGGAAUGGCAUUGGAUACUGGCAGGCUAGAGUGCGGUAGAGGGUAGUGGAAUUCCCGGUGUAGCAGUGAAAUGCGUAGAGAUCGGGAGGAACAUCUGUGGCGAAGGCGACUACCUGGACCAGCACUGACACUGAGGCACGAAAGCGUGGGGAGCAAACAGG
rnacentral:rRNA from 1 species